GUUGACGAGUCCCGAAUAGGACGAAACGCGCGUCAAAC
rnacentral:hammerhead_ribozyme from 1 species